GACGAACGCUGGCGGCGCGCUUAAUACAUGCAAGUCGAGCGAGAACCAGGGCUUCGGCCCUGGGGACAGCGGCGAACGGGUGAGUAACACGUGGGUAAUCAACCCCCGACACCGGGAUAGCCCAGGGAAAUUUGGAUUAAUACCGGAUGCUCCGUCUGGCCUUCGGGCCGGCCGGAAAAGGAUAGCUUCGGCCUCCGGUCGGGGACGAGCCCGCGGCGGAUUAGCUUGUUGGUGAGGUAAAGGCUCACCAAGGCGACGAUCCGUAGCUGGUCUGAGAGGACGAUCAGCCACACUGGGACUGAGACACGGCCCAGACUCCUACGGGAGGCAGCAGUAGGGAAUCUUGCGCAAUGGGCGAAAGCCUGACGCAGCGACGCCGCGUGAGGGAAGAAGGCCUUCGGGUUGUAAACCUCUUUCAGGAGGGACGGAGCCACUCGGGUUAAUAGCCCAGAGGGUGACGGUACCUCCAGAAGAAGCCCCGGCUAACUACGUGCCAGCCGCCGCAGUAACAC
rnacentral:rRNA from 1 species